UACGUAGGGUGCAAGCGUUAAUCGGAAUUACUGGGCGUAAAGCGUGCGCAGGCGGUGAUGUAAGACAGGUGUGAAAUCCCCGGGCUCAACCCGGGAACUGCGUCCGAUACUGGAAGGCUUGAAUCCGGGAGAGGGAUGCGGAAUUCCAGGUGUAGCGGUGAAAUGCGUAGAUAUCUGGAGGAACACCGGUGGCGAAGGCGGCAUCCGUGGGACCGGUACUGGACGCGAUGAGGUGGCGGAAAAGCGUGGGGAGCCAAGCAGGG
rnacentral:rRNA from 1 species